CACGAACGCUGGCGGCAGGCUUAACACAUGCAAGUCGAACGCCCCGCAAGGGGAGUGGCAGACGGGUGAGUAACGCGUGGGAACGUGCCCUUCGCUUCGGAGUAGUCCCGGGAAACUGGGUUUAAUACCGGAUACGCCGUAUUGGGAAAGAUUUAUCGGCGAAGGAUCGGCCCGCGUUAGAUUAGCUAGUUGGCGGUGUAAUGGACCACCAAGGCUACGAUCUAUAGCUGGUCUGAGAGGANGAUCAGCCACACUGGGACUGAGACACGGCCCAGACUCCUACGGGAGGCAGCAGUGGGGAAUCUUGGACAAUGGGCGAAAGCCUGAUCCAGCCAUGCCGCGUGAGUGAAGAAGGCCUUAGGGUUGUAAAACUCUUUCGCCGGUGAAGAUAAUGACGGUAACCGGAGAAGAAGCCCCGGCUAACUUCGUGCCAGCAGCCGCUGU
rnacentral:rRNA from 1 species